rnacentral:rRNA from 1 species
UUUUCAGAAAAAUUGUUAUCUGCUGGAGGGAAUGAAAUUUUGCUCAAAUCUAUAUAUUAUGUUAUCCCCACCUAUGCCAUGUCCGUCUUUAAAAUUCCUCAAAAAAAUUGCAAUGGAAUCAUUGAUGCGGUGUCGCAAUUUUGGUGGGGAGAUGAGGACAAUCAAAAGAGGAUGCAUUGGAUGGCUUGGUAGAAGAUGUCUGUUCCAAAAAAUCAAGGAGGUCUGGGAUUUCGGGAUAUUCAUUGUUUCAAUCUAGCAUUACUAGCUAAACAAGCAUGGCGUCUCCUUGAUAAUACGGAUUCUCUGUGUGCCUCUAAAUAUUUUCCUGAUGUCGAUUUGAUGAAUGCAAGCUUAAAAGGGGCUCUUCUUUUACGUGGAAAAGUAUUAUGGCGGGAUUUAACUCACUAA